ACGAACGCUGGCGGCGUGCUUAACACCUGCCAGUCGAACGGAAAGGCCCUGCUUUUGUGGGGUGCUCGAGUGGCGAACGGGUGAGUAACAUGUGAGUAACCUGCCCUUGACUUUGGGAUAACUUCAGGAAACUGGGGCUAAUACCGGAUAGGAGCUCCUGCUGCAUGGUGGGGGUUGGAAAGUUUCGGCGGUUGGGGAUGGACUCGCGGCUUAUCAGCUUGUUGGUGGGGUAGUGGCUUACCAAGGCUUUGACGGGUAGCCGGCCUGAGAGGGUGACCGGCCACAUUGGGACUGAGAUACGGCCCAGACUCCUACGGGAGGCAGCAGUGGGGAAUAUUGCACAAUGGGCGGAAGCCUGAUGCAGCAACGCCGCGUGCGGGAUGACGGCCUUCGGGUUGUAAACCGCUUUCGCCUGUGACGAAGCGUGAGUGACGGUAAUGGGUAAAGAAGCACCGGCUAACUACGUG
rnacentral:rRNA from 1 species